GAUGGGCGUUUCCCUUGUGGUCGGUGUGCAGGUGGUGCAUGGCUGUCGUCAGCUCGUGUCGUGAGAUGUUGGGUUAAGUCCCGCAACGAGCGCAACCCUUGUCCUAUGUUGCCAGCGGGUUAUGCCGGGGACUCAUGGGAGACUGCCGGGGUCAACUCGGAGGAAGGUGGGGAUGACGUCAAGUCAUCAUGCCCCUUAUGUCCAGGGCUUCACACAUGCUACAAUGGCCGGUACAGAGGGCUGCGAAGCCGUGAGGUGGAGCGAAUCUCGUAAAGCCGGUCUCAGUUCGGAUCGGGGUCUGCAACUCGACCCCGUGAAGUCGGAGUCGCUAGUAAUCGCAGAUCAGCAACGCUGCGGUGAAUACGUUCCCGGGCCUUGUACACACCGCCCGUCACGUCACGAAAGUCGGUAACACCCGAAGCCCGUGGCCCAACCCGUAAGGGGGGGAGCGGUCGAAGGUGGGACUGGCGAUUGGGA
rnacentral:rRNA from 1 species